rnacentral:rRNA from 1 species
GGGGGGGGGGGGGGGGGGGCCUGGCGGGGGCGGGGCGGGCGGAUGAAGGGAGCUGGCUGCUGGAUUCAGCGGCGGGCGGGUGAGGAAUGCCUAGGACUCUGCCUGGUAGUGGGGGAUAACGUCCGGGAACGGGCGCUAAUACCGCCUACGUCCUGCGGGAGAAAGUGGGGGAUCUUCGGACCUCACGCUAUCAGCUGAGCCUAGGUCGGAUUAGCUAGUUGGUGGGGUAAAGGCCUACCAAGGCGACGAUCCGUAACUGGUCUGAGAGGAUGAUCAGUCACACUGGAACUGAGACACGGUCCAGACUCCUACGGGAGGCAGCAGUGGGGAAUAUUGGACAAUGGGCGAAAGCCUGAUCCAGCCAUGCCGCGUGUGGGAAGAAGGUCUUCGGAUUGUAAAGCACUUUAAGUUGGGAGGAAGGGCAGUAAGUUAAUACCUUGCUGUUUUGACGUUACCAACAGAAUAAGCACCGGCUAACUUCGUG